UACAGAGGGUGCGAGCGUUGUCCGGAAUCACUGGGCGUAAAGGGCGCGUAGGUGGCGACCCAAGUCGAUGGUGAAAGCUCGCCGCUCAACGGCGAGUCGGCCACCGAUACUGGGUUGCUGGAGCACUCGUAGAGGCUCAUGGGAAUUCCGGGUGUAGCGGUGGGAUGCGUAGAGAGUCCGGAAGAACACCGGUGGCGAAGGCGGUGAGCUGGGCAGUUGCUGACACUGAGGCGCGACAGCGUGG
rnacentral:rRNA from 1 species